rnacentral:lncRNA from 1 species
UUGCCUCAAUAAAUUAGUAUUAAAACUUUUUUUGUCAAAUCAAAUCCCUUCUUGAUAUCAUUCAAAGGCACAAUCAAAGCAUUUUUUUCAGUUCUUACUAUAUAAUUUGGUCUUCUCGAAAUCUAGUCUUGACCCCAUUAUCCUCGUCCAUGGCCAAAACCAAGGCUCUGUUACCAAUGUAACCACCUAAAACAAAACUUUUAUAACAGAGAAAAUGUUAUUUGUAGAG